rnacentral:lncRNA from 1 species
UACUGUGGAACCUGGAAAAUAAAUGAAUAUGUUUUCUGGAUCAUUUUCUAGAAAUAGAAGAGAAAAAUAUAUGAAGCUAUUAAGCCCAAGUAACAUAACUGCAUGUGCUGAAAGUGGUUUCAAUUGCACAUAUAUAACCAAAAACCAUAAUAACAGAAGGUUUCAUUAGUAUCAUAUUGAUAUUAUAGGUUGAAAAAAAGAGUGCUUAAAAAAUCUUAGUGAGACUGAUCUCUUCAUAAACAGUCUGCAAUGCAAGCUACAUUUACAUGAAUUACUAAUGAAGUGAAAUGCAUUGCACACUGCACUCAGACUGAGUUCACAAAUGUGGAGUUCACUGGCAUA